UAACGCGUAAGCAAUCUGCCCCUAAGACGAGGAUAACAGUUGGAAACGACUGCUAAGACUGGAUAGGAGACAAGAGGGCAUCUUCUUGUUUUUAAAAGACCUAGCAAUAGGUAUGCUUAGGGAGGAGCUUGCGUCACAUUAGUUAGUUGGUGGGGUAAAGGCCUACCAAGACUAUGAUGUGUAGCCGGGCUGAGAGGUUGAACGGCCACAUUGGGACUGAGACACGGCCCAAACUCCUACGGGAGGCAGCAGUAGGGAAUUUUCGGCAAUGGAGGAAACUCUGACCGAGCAACGCCGCGUGAACGAUGAAGUAUUUCGGUACGUAAAGUUCUUUUAUUAGGGAAGAAUAAAUGAUGGAAAAAUCAUUCUGACGGUACCUAAUGAAUAAGCCCCGGCUAUCUAUGUGCCAGCAGCCGCGGUAAUACAUAGGGGGCAAGCGUUAUCCGGAAUUAUUGGGCGUAAAGGGUGCGUAGGCGGUUAAAUAAGUUUAUGGUCUAAGUGCAAUGCUCAACAUUGUGAUGCUAUAAAAACUGUUUAGCUAGAGUAAGAUAGAGGCAAGUGGAAUUCCAUGUGUAGUGGUAAAAUGCGUAAAUAUAUGGAGGAACACCAGUAGCGAAGGCGGCUUGCUGGGUCUUUACUGACGCUGAGGCACGAAAGCGGGGGGAGCAAACAGGAUUAGAUACCCUGGUAGUCCACGCCGUAAACGAUGAGUACUAAACGUUGGGUAAAACCAGUGUUGAAGUUAACACAUUAAGUACUCCGCCUGAGUAGUACGUACGCAAGUAUGAAACUUAAAGGAAUUGACGGGACUCCGCACAAGCGGUGGAUCGUGUUGUUUAAUUCGAAGGUACCCGAAAAACCUCACCAGGUCUUGACAUGCUUCUGCAAAGCUGUAGAAACACAGUGGAGGUUAUCAGUUGCACAGGUGGUGCAUGGUUGUCGUCAGCUCGUGUCGUGAGAUGUCGGGUUAAGUCCCGCAACGAGCGCAACCCUUAUUGUUAGUUACCAGCACGUAAUGGUGGGGACUUUAGCAAGACUGCCAGUGAUAAAUUGGAGGAAGGUGGGGACGACGUCAAAUCAUCAUGCCCCUUAUGACCUGGGCUACAAACGUGAUACAAUGGCUGUUACAAAGGGUAGCUGAAGCGCAAGUUUUUGGCGAAUCUCAAAAAAACAGUCUCAGUUCGGAUUGAAGUCUGCAACUCGACUUCAUGAAGUUGGAAUCGCUAGUAAUCGCGAAUCAGCAUGUCGCGGUGAAUACGUUCUCGGGGUUUGUACACACCGCCCGUCA
rnacentral:rRNA from 1 species